UUUCCGUAGGUGAACCUGCGGAAGGAUCAUUAUUGAAUGAAUGUAGAGUUUGGUUGUAGCUGGUCUUCCAAAGGCAUGUGCACACCAUUCUCUUUCAUCCACACACCCCUGUGCACUUGUUAAGACGGAGGCUGUUACUCUUUUAUUAGAGAGACGUUUCCGUCUGCUAACACAUAAAAUCAUAUAAUUUAAAUCUGAAUGUAAUUUGAUGUAACGCAUCUAAUACAAAGUUUCAACAACGGAUCUCUUGGCUCUCGCAUCGAUGAAGAACGCAGC
rnacentral:misc_RNA from 1 species